rnacentral:rRNA from 1 species
UACGUAGGGUGCGAGCGUUGUCCGGAAUUAUUGGGCGUAAAGAGUUCGUAGGCGGUGUGUCACGUCGGCCGUGAAAACCUGCAGCUUAACUGUGGGCGUGCGGUCGAUACGGGCAUCACUGGAGUUCGGCAGGGGAGACUGGAAUUCCUGGUGUAGCGGUGAAAUGCGCAGAUAUCAGGAGGAACACCGGUGGCGAAGGCGGGUCUCUGGGCCGAUACUGACGCUGAGGAGCGAAAGCGUGGGGAGCAAACAGG